GCGUUGGUAGUGUAGGGGUUAUCAUCCAGGCUUCCCAUGUCACCAGACUAGCCUGCCUGGGACCCGAGUUCGAGUCUCGGUCAACGCA
rnacentral:tRNA from 1 species